UGCUUUAAGUCACUAGGUAUGUUACGUGGGUUUGUCUUCCUUAGGGUGGAGUUAGUGGAACCGAAAAAGAUGUCUCCCUCACAGCGUUUGUGACAAAAGAAUUGCAUCGUUCCUUGGCGGCCUUUCAACAGAAGAAUAUUCAGAGAUUUCACGAGUGUUGAUUUCCCAAAGUGGAGCAUCUCACAUUUAAUGGAUUAAAAUCCACUUGCCGUUUCUGCAACUGAUCUGGAGGCAACACACAGCCCUGGUAUCUCAAAUGUGGCUACAGAAACUAUGCCCCCAACGAAUGAGUCUCCAACCACGAUCACUCACUUGGAUUUACCUGACCCUGUCCCACAGCAGGGCGGUUUGUACAACGGACCUGGCUACUGCUGAUUAUAUAACCGUUCCAGUUUGGUUUUAGAUCAGUGUUAACCUUGAUGAAGUGGAUAGCCAAGCACCUCAGUGGUCUACAGUACAGGAGAAAUAAAUUCUGAAGCUCACGGAUUCUGUGACAGUCAAAGACAAGCACUGAAUUGUUCUAACCUCAUUUCCAACACCUGGCCCAUAGCCUUGCAUGGCUUGGAUAACACUUGCACAUUUAAAAAAAAUGUAAGGAUGAUGAUUGUGAUGUUGGUAACUGGAAAGCCUCCAUUGUUGGAGGACGAGAAGCCGUAUCUAAUUGAAGCAGCACGGGCUUUUGCGAUGACUGUGGAAACCACUGCUUAUGCCUUGCUUCAAGCAUUGUCAAGGAAUGAUUUUGACUAUGCAACACCGAUUGUGAGGUGGCUAACGAUGCAACAGAACUAUGGUGGUGGAUUUCACUCGACGCAGGUAAAUGCUUGAGAUCACAA